rnacentral:rRNA from 1 species
GACAGAGGCCUCAAGCGUUAGGCGGAAUCACUGGGCUUAAAGCGUGUGUAGGCGGAUCGUUAAGUGUCUUGUGAAAUCCCACGGCUCACCCGUGGAACGGCUGGGCAUACUGGCGAUCUUGGGCCAACUAGGGGCAACUGGAACAAGCGGUGGAGCGGUGAAAUGCGUAGAUAUCGCUUGGAACGCCGAAGGUGAAAACAGGUUGCUGGGGUUGUGCCGACGCUGAGGCACGAAAGCCAGGGGAGCAAACGGG